UNCCACGUGUAGCAGUGAAAUGCGUAGAGAUGUGGAGGAAUACCGAUGGCGAAGGCAGCCUCCUGGGAUAACACUGACGUUCAUGCUCGAAAGCGUGGGUAGCAAACAGGAUUAGAUACCCUGGUAGUNCACGCCCUAAACGAUGUCAAUUAGCUGUUGGGCAACUUGAUUGUUCAGUAGCGUAGCUAACGCGUGAAAUUGACCGCCUGGGGAGUACGGUCGCAAGAUUAAAACUCAAAGGAAUUGACGGGGACCCGCACAAGCGGUGGAUGAUGUGGAUUAAUUCGAUGCAACGCGAAGAACCUUACCUGGUCUUGACAUGUACGGAAUCCUCCAGAGACGGAGGAGUGCCUUCGGGAGCCGUAACACAGGUGCUGCAUGGCUGUCGUCAGCUCGUGUCGUGAGAUGUUGGGUUAAGUCCCGCAACGAGCGCAACCCUUGUCAUUAGUUGCCAUCAUUCAGUUGGGCACUCUAAUGAGACUGCCGGUGACAAGCCGGAGGAAGGUGGGGAUGACGUCAAGUCCUCAUGGCCCUUAUGACCAGGGCUUCACACGUCAUACAAUGGUCGGUACAGAGGGUAGCCAAGCCGCGAGGUGGAGCCAAUCUCACAAAACCGAUCGUAGUCCGGAUUGCACUCUGCAACUCGAGUGCAUGAAGUCGGAAUCGCUAGUAAUCGCAGGUCAGCAUACUGCGGUGAAUACGUUCCCGGGUCUUGUACACACCGCCCGUCACACCAUGGGAGUGGGGGAUACCAGAAGUAGGUAGGAUAACCGCAAGGGNUCCGCUUACCACG
rnacentral:rRNA from 1 species